rnacentral:rRNA from 1 species
CCUACGGGGGUCAGCAGUGAGGAAUAUUGGUCAAUGGACGAGAGUCUGAACCAGCCAAGUAGCGUGAAGGAUGACUGCCCUAUGGGUUGUAAACUUCUUUUAUAAAGGAAUAAAACGAGGCACGUGUGCCUUUUUGCAUGUACUUUAUGAAUAAGGAUCGGCUAACUCCGUGCCAGCAGCCGCGGUAAUACGGAGGAUCCGAGCGUUAUCCGGAUUUAUUGGGUUUAAAGGGAGCGUAGAUGGGUUGGUAAGUCAGUUGUGAAAGUUUGCGGCUCAACCGUAAAAUUGCAAUUGAUACUGGUAGUCUUGAGUACAGUUGAGGUAGGCGGAAUUCGUGGUGUAGCGGUGAAAUGCUUAGAUAUCACGAAGAACCCCGAUUGCGAAGGCAGCUUACUAAACUGUGACUGACAUUGAUGCUCGAAAGUGUGGGUAUCAAACAGGAUUAGAUACCCUGGUAGUC